CUUCAGAUGUGACUUCAAAAGACAAUUGUACCCGUCAAUUAUUUGGCUGGGACAGUGACAUGGCUGCUGUCUUGCUGCUGCUACCACCAGCUGUGCAAGGUUGUAAGAAGCCUGGAAAGAUGUCUGCAUGUCAAGCGGAAGAUCAGCUUAUCAAAUUUCAAAAGGUUGGAACCAGUGUGCAGCAGCAUCUGGACAGCAUCACCCAAAGCAGUCAGCCUUACCUUCUUGCCUUGGGAUCCACAAAGAGAAGCAUUCACUCCUACUUUGUUGUGAUCGACAAGCAUGUGGUUCCAUGCAAAGGCAACGGCCUCAGUGGGAGCCUUUGAUGAACUCUUUAAGGCUCACUUCGUCUUUGGUACGUCAUACAGUUCUUGCCUGAGUAACUCCUUCACUUUUGUGCAAACAACCAUCUAUAACAUUGAUAUGGGGGAAACAAAGGAGACUCCCCAAGUUGCUGAGUUGAGAGCAAGAAUGUUGCGUUGGUGAAGAUCUGCUGAGGUGAAAUGAUGAAGUGUUUUCUAUGCAAGACUGAGCAUAAAAGU